GCGGACGUGGCGGAAUUGGCAGACGCGCUAGAUUUAGGUUCUAGUGCCGCAAGGCGUGAAGGUUCAAGUCCUUUCGUCCGCA
rnacentral:tRNA from 4 species